UCACUGAGGGAUAGCUCAGUUUGUAGAGCAUGAGACUCUUAAUCUCAGGGUUGUGGGUUUGAGCCUCAUGUUGGGUGAA
rnacentral:tRNA from 1 species